rnacentral:rRNA from 1 species
GAUUAGCCAGUUGGCGGGGUAACGGCCCACCAAAGCGACGAUCAGUAGCCGACUGAGAGGGUGACCGGCCACAUUGGGACUGAGACACGGCCCAGACUCCUACGGGAGGCAGCAGUAGGGAAUUUUCGGCAAUGGGGGAAACCCUGACCGAGCAACGCCGCGUGAGCGAAGAAGGCCUUCGGGUCGUAAAGCUCUGUUGUAAAGGAAGAACGGCGCAUACAGGAAAUGGUAUGCGAGUGACGGUACUUUACCAGAAAGCCACGGCUAACUACGUGCCAGCAGCCGCGGUAAUACGUAGGUGGCGAGCGUUAUCCGGAAUCAUUGGGCGUAAAGAGGGAGCAGGCGGCCGCAAGGGUCUGUGGUGAAAGACCGAAGCUAAACUUCGGUAAGCCAUGGAAACCGGGCGGCUAGAGUGCGGAAGAGGAUCGUGGAAUUCCAUGUGUAGCGGUGAAAUGCGUAGAUAUAUGGAGGAACACCAGUGGCGAAGGCGACGGUCUGGGCCGCAACUGACGCUCAUUCCCGAAAGCGUGGGGAGCAAAUAGGAUUAGAUACCCUAGUAGUCCACGCCGUAAACGAUGGUCACUAAGUGUCGGGGGUCAAACCCCGGUGCUGCAGUCAACGCAAUAAGUGACCCGCCUGAGUAGUACGUU